AUUGAACGCUGGCGGCAGGCCUAACACAUGCAAGUCGAGCGGAUGAAGGGAGCUGGCUCUCUGAUUCAGCGGCGGGCGGGUGAGUAAUGCCUAGGAAUCUGCCUGGUAGUGGGGGACAACGUCGCGAAAGGAACGCUAAUACCGCAUACGUACUACGGGAGGCAGUGGGGGAUCUUCGGACCUCACGCCAUCACUUGAGCCUAGGUACGAUUAGCUAGUUGGUGGGGUAAAGGCUCACCAAGGCGACGAUCGGUAACUGGUCUGAGAGGAUGAUCAGUCACACUGGAACUGAGUCACGGUCCAGACUCCUACGGGAGGCAGCAGUGGGGAAUAUUGGACAAUGGGCGGGAGCCUGAUCCAGCCAUGCCGCGUGUGUGAAGAAGGUCUUCGGAUUGUAAAGCACUUUAAGUUGGGAGGAAGGGCAGUAAGUUAAUACCUUGCUGUUUUGACGUUACCGACAGAAUAAGCACCGGCUAACUUCGUGCCAGCCGCCGCCGUAACAC
rnacentral:rRNA from 1 species